CCUACGGGAGUCAGCAGUGAGGAAUAUUGGUCAAUGGUCGGGAGACUGCACCAGCCAAGCCGCGUGAGGGAGGAAGGUACAGAGUAUCGUAAACCUCUUUUGUCAGGGAACAAAGGCGGGGACGUGUCCCCGGAUGAGUGUACCUGAAGAAAAAGCAUCGGCUAACUCCGUGCCAGCAGCCGCGGUAAUAGGGAGGAUGCGAGCGUUAUCCGGAUUUAUUGGGUUUAAAGGGUGCGCGGGCGGUCUGUUAAGUCAGGGGUAAAAGCCCGGGGCUCACCCCCGGCCCGCCGUUGAAACUGGCAGUCUCGAGUUGGAGAGAAGUAUGCGGAAUGCGCGGUGUAGCGGUGAAAUGCAUAGAUAUCGCGAAGAACUCCGAUUGCGAAGGCAGCAUGCCGGCUCCACACUGACGCUGAGGCACGAAAGCGUGGGUAUCGAACAGGAUUAGAUACCCUAGUAGUC
rnacentral:rRNA from 1 species